rnacentral:rRNA from 2 species
UCGGGCUCAGGAUGAACGCUAGCUACAGGCUUAACACCUGCAAGUCGAGGGGAAACGACAUCGAAAGCUUGCUUUUGAUGGGCGUCGACCGGCGCACGGGUGAGCAACGCGUAUCCAACCUGCCCACCACUUGGGGAUAACCUUGCGAAAGUAAGACUAAUACCCAAUGACGUCUCUAGAAGACAUCUGAAAGAGAUUAAAGAUUUAUCGGUGAUGGAUGGGGAUGCGUCUGAUUAGCUUGUUGGCGGGGUAACGGCCCACCAAGGCUACGAUCAGUAGGGGUUCUGAGAGGAAGGUCCCCCACAUUGGAACUGAGACACGGUCCAAACUCCUACGGGAGGCAGCAGUGAGGAAUAUUGGUCAAUGGACGAGAGUCUGAACCAGCCAAGUAGCGUGCAGGAUGACGGCCCUAUGGGUUGUAAACUGCUUUUAUAAGGGAAUAAAGUGAGUCUCGUGAGGCUUUUUGCAUGUACCUUAUGAAUAAGGACCGGCUAAUUCCGUGCCAGCAGCCGCGGUAAUACGGAAGGUCCGGGCGUUAUCCGGAUUUAUUGGGUUUAAAGGGAGCGUAGGCCGGAGAUUAAGCGUGUUGUGAAAUGUAGACGCUCAACGUCUGCACUGCAGCGCGAACUGGUUUCCUUGAGUACGCACAAAGUGGGCGGAAUUCGUGGUGUAGCGGUGAAAUGCUUAGAUAUCACGAAGAACUCCGAUUGCGAAGGCAGCUCACUGGAGCGCAACUGACGCUGAAGCUCGAAAGUGCGGGUAUCGAACAGGAUUAGAUACCCUGGUAGUCCGCACGGUAAACGAUGGAUGCCCGCUGUUGGUCUGAAUAGGUCAGCGGCCAAGCGAAAGCAUUAAGCAUCCCACCUGGGGAGUACGCCGGCAACGGUGCAACUCAAAGGAAUUGACGG